AAAUCCCAACUCCUCACUCUCUCUCUCUCUCUCUCUCUCUCUCUCUCUCAUUUCUCAAUUCCGCUCCCCGAUCCCGACUCCUCCCCUCUCAUUUCUCAGUCCCGAUCCCAAUCUCUAUCUCAAGUUCUCUCUCAACGCAGGUUAUCUAUGACAAACUAACUGGAACGAGCCGAGGUUUUGAAUUUGUGACAAUGUCUACUGUUGAGGAGGUUGAGGCAGCUUGCCAGCAGUUUAAUGGUUAUGAUCCAAUAAGUUCUCCGAGACAUGAGUUGGAAGCAUAGGAGAAAAAGAAGGAGAAUACUUUGAAGGAUAAAUAGACAAUUUUUGCUAUGGUUUCUUUUAGUAGUUUAUGUUGUGCUAAUUUAGCUUGUUGUAGAAAAUCAUGGUUAUCUACUACCUAUAGUACGUUGUGUUUUAAAUGAAGACUUAUUGCAUAGCCUAGAGCUUCUUAUGUGGAUUGUUCGCUAUACUAUUUUGUGUCGUCAAGUCUUUUAUCAUGGCUAAUUUUUAAAGUAGUACUCUUGUUAUUUUGGAGAUUGAAGGUCAAUGUGGUAGUGGAUAAAACCAUGAAAAAUGCUAUUAUAAUGAAUAUUUUGGACAUUAUUAUUA